rnacentral:lncRNA from 1 species
GCUGGGGAACGGGAGCUGCAGCCGGGGGACGGGGAACAGGGAUCGAGGAGUGAGGGAGCUGAGGUCGGGGUCAGGGACCGCCUCAGCCCUCUCCCAUGCGGGGGCCGCCCCGCCCCGUCCUGCCCGCGGCCUCCGCCGCUUCCCGCGGGCCGCCCCCUCCCUGCAGCCCCCGGGGCGCGGCCGCCCUCCCCUCCGGCCGCUGUGUCGGGGCGUGCUCGGCCUCUGCCUCUUCCUCCUGCUGCUGCUGCCGGCGGUCGGUCUCCUGAUGCAGAAGACCCUCUGGAAACUGUAAAGAAGAUCGUGGAGAAAAUUAAGGAAACCGCAUCCGCCAACUGGAUCCCCGACUCGGACAUGUUUGAGGAUCCUGAUUUAGACUUUGGCCCCAGGUAAGCCAUGCAAGCUUUUAAAAUGGGAUUUGUGUAGAGAUUCUUCAUUGUGUAAUCAGGACAUGUGGACCUGGCAUUGCUGGGUUAACAGUUGGACUCGGUGAUCUUGAAGUUCUUUUUCAGCCUACACAAUUCCAUAAUUCUGUGCUUCUAGAAUACAAAAAUAGAAAUACUAAUUUGUGUCUUUAGAGUGUGGAGCACUCAAAAUCUGUGUGUGUGUUGGAAGAAGG